AGUGAACGCUGGCGGUAGGCCUAACACAUGCAAGUCGAACGGCAGCACAGUAAGAGCUUGCUCUUACGGGUGGCGAGUGGCGGACGGGUGAGGAAUACAUCGGAAUCUACUUUUUCGUGGGGGAUAACGUAGGGAAACUUACGCUAAUACCGCAUACGACCAACGGGUGAAAGCAGGGGAUCUUCGGACCUUGCGCGAUUGAAUGAGCCGAUGUCGGAUUAGCUAGUUGGCAGGGUAAAGGCCCACCAAGGCGACGAUCCGUAGCUGGUCUGAGAGGAUGAUCAGCCACACUGGAACUGAGACACGGUCCAGACUCCUACGGGAGGCAGCAGUGGGGAAUAUUCGACAAUGGGCGCAAGCCUGCUCCAGCCAUACCGCGUGAGUGAAGAAGGCCUUCGGGUUGUAAAGCCCUUUUGUUGGGAAAGAACAGCAGCAUGUUAAUCCCCCGCUGUUCUGACGGUACCCAAAGAAUAAGCACCGGCUAACUUCGUG
rnacentral:rRNA from 1 species